AACGAACGCUGGCGGCAUGCCUAACACAUGCAAGUCGAACGAGACCUUCGGGUAUAGUGGCGAACGGGUGCGUAACGCGUGGGAACCUGCCCUUAGGUUCGGAAUAACUCCCCGAAAGGGGUGCUAAUACCGGAUAAUGUCUUCGGACCAAAGAUUUAUCGCCUUUGGAUGGGCCCGCGUUGGAUUAGCUAGUUGGUAGGGUAAAAGCCUACCAAGGCGACGAUCCAUAGCUGGUCUGAGAGGAUGAUCAGCCACACUGGGACUGGGACACGGCCCAGACUCCUACGGGAGGAAGCAGUGGGGAAUAUUGGACGAUGGGCGAGAGCCUGAUCCAGCAAUGCCGCGUGAGUGAUGAAGGCCUUAGGGUUGUAAAGCUCUUUUAACCGGGAUGAUAAUGACAGUACCGGGAGAAUAAGCGCCGGCUAACUCCGUG
rnacentral:rRNA from 1 species